CUCGCGGUCACAUGACGUCACGUACGUCAGUCGACGUGAACUGCGUGAAGGCUAGUUAUGGCAUCUCCAGGGUAUUUUGGUGAUGGUCCUCCGAUGCGCGAGCGUGACCCCUACUUCACUGAGGUCAUCAGCCAGAGGAUGCGCGUGCCUGAGCGGCUGAGGGUCGGUCCAGCGCCACAUGAGCCUGCAGAGCAAAGACAUGAAGAGCUACCUGCUGCCUACAGCAUGCACAUCCCAGACAGACUGGCCUUAACAGAUGCUCCUGAUUUGAGUCCACGACCUCUCUUCACUAAACACACUUCAUCAAUGUGGGACCUGCAGCAUGGGUCCUGGGACAGGGAGGCGUUCAUGAGAGAGCCUGUCCAGAGUCCACUGCGAAGGUCUUACAGUGACCAGGCCUGUGGUCGAACCCCACCUGGAACCCCCACACACUCCAGACAAACACUCCACUCCCAGUCUCCCCGCAGUAUUGGACGCCCACCUGUCGUGCAUACAGACCCGUCCCCACCAAAGCCCCCAGGACUCCCCUCCAUCCCACCCAACCUGCUGUCCCCACAGAGCAUGCUGCAGGCCGCCAAGGAGCUGGGCCAGCAGGCAUCUCAGAAACUCCUCCAGACCGUCACCAAAAUAUACUCCUCCAGGUUUGGUUACCCAGAAAACCAUCCCUCUCAGGCUGUGGAGGUUCAACCUGAUCAAAGCAGGACAAGUGCCUCGCAGGAGUUCUGGCUCGGUCCUGAAGAGGACACAGGUGCUGCUGUCGAGUUCAUGGUGCUCCGCAGACAGGUGGUGAAGAUGAGCAGGAGGAUAGCAGGGCUGGAGAGACAGAACGCAGAGCACAGACAGACAGAGCUGGUGCUGUUCUCUAUGUUACUGUCUGCCUGUCUGAUCAACGGCUGGCUGUGGAUGCGCAGAUGACGGCUCACACUCCACAACACUGCACUAUACAGACAGCACUACAAGAGCAGCGGAGCUGUUUACUGGGAAGUACAGUACUGCACAUAUUUCUAUAGAGAUUUACGAAAUUUGUUCUAAAAAAUGAUGGUCAAUGGAUGGUUUAGAAACCACUUCUAUAGAAGACUCUGAACCUAGACUCGGAUGUGUCACAUGAUCACGGUAGUGACAUGGGCCACUUUGCGUUACAAGUGAUUUGAGGAACUCAAGCAUGUUUUUCUCCUCGUGAGAGUUUCACUGAUGAUGUCAUUCAGUAAUGCAGUCCCUCUGGCUCUUUUGAUCAGACUAGUAGCUAGUAUUUUGGAUUUGAUUUAUUCUGCAAAUUAAGUAAAUGCCGAGAUUUUCUGCAUGCUUUAUUAUGAAAGUAUAAAUAUGAAUGUUUACUGGUGCAUCU
rnacentral:lncRNA from 1 species